UUGGACUGUUUAGUGGCUCAAAGCCCCAGUCUGUUCUCUAUGUUAAUUAUGACUGUGAGCUGUUUACUGUGUCUGUUUGCUGCUCGGUGCUGAACUGCGGCGAGAAUAGAAGCGUCUGCCCCGCUGAAAACAUCUGGUGCCGCAACUGAAAGCAAAGCAAACGACUAGACUGGAAAGUUCAAGGUAUCCAGUGCAGGGAUCCUGCAUCUUUUCUGCAGGCGGUUUCCAUGGAAACGGGUGUGCUUCAGCCAAAGAGAGAGAGUGAAAAGGGGGCGCCCAGAGCUGACUUCCCGUACUGCUGCUGACCUCCUUCCAGGAUCCCUCGGUUUGGCCCUUAUUCAUGACUGUAUCAGAGCCCCAUCAACUUGCAACACAAAGCUACUCCCUUGUGUUAAAGUCUCCAAAUAGCCAGAUCAUUUGACAGAAGCAUAUGAAU